rnacentral:rRNA from 1 species
UACGGGGGGGGCAAGCGUUGUUCGGAAUUACUGGGCGUAAAGGGCUCGUAGGUGGCCAAUUAAGUCAGACGUGAAAUCCCCAGGCUUAACCUGGGAACUGCGUCUGAUACUGGUUGGCUUGAAUUCGGGAGAGGGAUGCAGAAUUCCAGGUGUAGCGGUGAAAUGCGUAGAUAUCUGGAGGAAUACCGGUGGCGAAGGCGGUUCUCUGGGACGGUACUGACGCUGAGACGCGAAAGCGUGGGGAGCGAACAGG